AGAGUUUGAUCCUGGCUCAGAACGAACGCUGGCGGCGUGCUUAAUACAUGCAAGUCGAACGUGAAGACGUAGCAAUACGUCUGAAAGUGGCGAACGGGUGAGUAACACGUAAGUAAUCUGCCUUCAAGAUCGGGAUAACCCUGCCAACGCGGGGCUAAUACCGGAUGUGGUCCAAUGAACACAUGUUUAUUGGAUUAAAGGUCGCGAGGCCGCUUGGAGAUGAGCUUGCGGCCCAUUAGCUAGUUGGUGAGGUAACGGCUUACCAAGGCGAUGAUGGGUAGCCGGCCUGAGAGGGUGUACGGCCACAUUGGGACUGAGAUACGGCCCAGACUCCUACGGGAGGCAGCAGUAGGGAAUUUUGCGCAAUGGACGAAAGUCUGACGCAGCAACGCCGCGUGAAGGAUGACGGCCCUCGGGUUGUAAACUUCUGUUGGAUGGGAAAAAAAGCCCCGCAAGGGGAAUUGAUGGUACCAUUCGAGUAAGCACCGGCUAACUACGUGCCAGCAGCCGCGGUAAUACGUAGGGUGCAAGCGUUGUUCGGAAUCACUGGGCGUAAAGAGAGCGUAGGCGGGAUCGUAAGUUAGGAGUUUAAUGCAUGGGCUCAACCCGUGAUCUGCUUUUAAUACUGCGGUUCUUGAGUAUGGGAGAGGGCGAUGGAAUUCCAGGUGUAGCGGUGGAAUGCGUAGAUAUCUGGAAGAACACCAGUAGCGAAGGCGGUCGCCUGGCCCAAUACUGACGCUGAGGCUCGAAAGCUAGGGGAGCAAACAGGAUUAGAUACCCUGGUAGUCCUAGCCGUAAACGAUGGACACUAGUUGCCGGAAGAGUCAAUCCUUCGGUGACGAAGCUAACGCAUUAAGUGUCCCGCCUGGGAAGUACGCUCGCAAGAGUGAAACUCAAAUG
rnacentral:rRNA from 1 species